rnacentral:rRNA from 1 species
ACGGGCGCCUGGCCUCACCAUGGCGCUUCGAGCGGCUGCCGGGAGGUAGCUUGUUGACUCAGCGGGGGAGGGGUGAGAGAUAAAAUCGAGUCUGGCAGAUAGCGGGGGAAACGGUUCUAAAGGAACGCUCGUAUGGUAUAAGUCCUACGGGAUAAAGCAGGGAACCUUCGGGCCUUGCGCUAUCGCAUGAGCCUAUGUCGGAUUAUGUAGUUGGUGAGGUAAUGGGUCACCGGGGCGACGAGCCGAAACUGGUCUGAUAGGAUGAUCAGACGCACUGGAACUGAGACACGGACCCAACUCCUACAGUAAGCAGCAGUGGGGAAUAUUGGACAAUGGGCGAAAGCCUGAUCCAGCCAUGCCGCGUGUGUGAAGAAGGUCUUCGGAUUGUAAAGCACUUUAAGUUGGGAGGAAGGGCAGUAAGCUAAUACCUUGCUGUUUUGAUUUUUCCUACAGAAUAAGCACCGGCUAACUCUGUGCCAGCAGCCGCGGUAAUACAGAGGGUGCAAGCGUUAAUCGGAAUUACUGGGCGUAAAGCGCGCGUAGGUGGUUCGGUUAAGUUGGAUGUGAAAUCCCCGGGCUCAACCUGGGAACUGCAUCCAAAACUGGCGAGCUACAGUAUGGAAGAGGGUGGAGGAAUUUCCUGUGUAGCGGGUGAAAUGCGUAGAUAUAGGAAGGAACACCAGUGGCGAAUGCGACCACCUGGGCUCAUACUGACACUGAGUGCGAAAGCGUGGGGGAGCAAACAGGAUUAGAUACCCUGUUAGUCCACGCCGUAAAACGAUGUCCACUAGCCGUUGGAAUCCUUGAUAUUUUAGUGGCGCAGCUAACGCAUUAAGGUUGACGGCUGGGGAGUACGGCCGCAGGUAAACUCAAAUGAUUUGACGGGUGCCCGCACAACCGUGGAACAUGUGGUUUAAUUUCGUAAACACGCGAAAACCUUAACACGUCCUUGGCAUCAAGAACUUUGCAAAAAAUGGAUUGAUGCCUUUC